rnacentral:rRNA from 1 species
AUUGAACGCUGGCGGCGUGCCUAAUACAUGCAAGUAGAACGCAUUUGCGAACGGGUGAGUAACGCGUAGGUAACUGCCUGGUAGCGGGGGAUAACUAUUGGAAACGAUAGCUAAUACCGCAUACUACCCGAUGGACCUGCGUUGUCUUAGUUUGUUGGUGGGGUAACGGCUCACCAAGGCAACGAUACAUAGCCGACCUGAGAGGGUUAUCGGCCAAACUGGGACUGAGAAAAGGCCCAGACUCCUACGGGAGGCAGCAGUAGGGAAUCUUCGGCAAUGGACGGAAGUCUGACCGAGCAACGCCGCGUGAGUGAAGAAGGUUUUCGGAUCGUAAAGCUCUGUUGUAAGAGAAGCGGUAUCUUACCAGAAAGGGACGGCUAACUACGUGCCAGCAGCCGCGGUAAUAC